ACUUGCCGUCCAGACUCUCCAGGACGUGGCGGAACAGCCCGUUCCUGAUGGCCGCCUCGUCACUGCUGUGGCCUGCUAAUGUUUGGAGCAGAGGUCCAUAAGACCAGCUGGAUUCGCAGAAUGACUGGAACAGACAGAAAAGUGUUUGCUACAGACGGAGGAGGCCGGAUGUGUUUGCCUGCCACCCCGUCUCCCCACAUAAAGACAAACCCAGAUCUUCAGCUCAGGCAGCAGGCAAAUAAAGGGCCCUUUCAAGGCAAACACAAAGGCAGAGAUGGAGCUGAAUGGGACUGACUGCUCUCCUUAAAGAUAAUGCAAGUUCCUAGAUUAGCUAAUUUGGACAGAUUU